rnacentral:rRNA from 1 species
UGAGGUCUGCAACUCGACCUCAUGAAGCCGGAAUCGCUAGUAAUCGCCAAUCAGCUAUGUGGCGAUGAAUAUGUUCCUGAGUCUUGUACUCACCGCCCGUCACGCCAAGCGAGCUGGGAAUGCCCAAAACUCCUCGCAAGAGAGGCUAAGGCAGGCUCAGUGAGAGGGGCGAAGUCGU